rnacentral:rRNA from 1 species
AUUGAACGCUGGCGGCAGGCCUAACACAUGCAAGUCGAACGAGUGGCGGACGGGUGAGUAAUGUCUGGGAAACUGCCUGAUGGAGGGGGAUAACUACUGGAAACGGUAGCUAAUACCGCAUACCAUCAGAUGUGCCCAGAUGGGAGUAGCUUGUUGGUGGGGUAACGGCUCACCAAGGCGACGAUCACUAGCUGGUCGGAGAGGAUGACCAGCCACACGUGAACGGAGACACGGUCCAGACUCCUACGGUAGGCCGCAGUGGGGAAUAAGGCACAAUGGGCGCAAGCAUGAUGCAGCCAUGCCGCGGGUAUGAAGAAGGCCGUCGGGUUGUAAAGUACUUUCAGCGGGGAGGCGUUACCCGCAGAAGAAGCACCGGCUAACGCCGUGCCAGCAGCCGCGGUAAUUC